rnacentral:rRNA from 1 species
CCUACGGGAGGCAGCAGUGGGGAAUAUUGCGCAAUGGGCGAAAGCCUGACGCAGCGACGCAGCGUGAGGGACGAAGGCCUUCGGGUUGUAAACCUCUUUCAGCGGGGACGAAGCGAAAGUGACGGUACCCGCAGAAGAAGCACCGGCUAACUACGUGCCAGCAGCCGCGGUAAUACGUAGGGUGCAAGCAUUGUCCGGAUUUAUUGGGCGUAAAGAGCUCGUAGGCGGCUUGUCACGUCGGAUGUGAAAACUCGGGGCUCAACCCCGAGCCUGCAUUCGAUACGGGCUAGCUAGAGUGUUGCAGGGGAGACUGGAAUUCCUGGUGUAGCGGUGAAAUGCGCAGAUAUCAGGAGGAACACCGGUGGCGAAGGCGGGUCUCUGGGCAACUACUGACGCUGAGGAGCGAAAGCGUGGGGAGCGAACAGGAUUAGAUACCCUGGUAGUCCACGCCGUAAACGGUGGGCGCUAGGUGUGGGGAACCUUCCGACGUUCUCUGUGCCGUAGCUAACGCAUUAAGCGCCCCGCCUGGGGAGUCGGCCGCAAGGCUAAAACUCAAAUGAAUUGACGGCUGAGACGUGCCGACGGACGACGACGAGGGAGGUAGG